rnacentral:rRNA from 1 species
AGAGUUUGAUUAUGGCUCAGAACGAACGCUGGCGGCAGGCUUAACACAUGCAAGUUGAACGGGAUUUGUGUGGUGCUUGCACCAUAUAAUGAGAGUAGCGCACUGGUGAGUAACACGUGGGAACGUACCUUUUGGUGGGGGACAACAUCUGGAAACGGAUGCUAAUACCGCAUAAGACCUGAGGGUGAAAGAUUUAUCGCCGAAAGAACGGCCCGCGGAAGAUUAGGCAGUUGGUGGGGUAAAGGCCUACCAAACCUACGAUCUAUAGCUGGUCUGAGAGGACGAUCAGCCACACUGGAACUGAGACACGGUCCAG